GUUUUUUUUUUUAAUAUAUUAGUAACCCUAGUGUUAUCCUUUUAUCGUUAAGUAAUUUUUUACUUUUUUUUUCUCUAAAAGAGAAUGUCUUUUUUUUUUUUGAGUUGGUAGAUUAAUAAAAAUAGAUAAAUUUUAUGUUUUAUCUAUCAAAAUAGAUAUACAUAGACUUGUUUGAUAUUUUGGCCCAUAAAUAAGAUAAUUAUUGGACUAUAUGUGUGCAAUGAAGGC
rnacentral:lncRNA from 1 species